rnacentral:lncRNA from 1 species
AAUAAAUCCCAAAAACAUCUGUGAGCUAUUUUUCAGAAAGAUAAAAGACCGCGUGAAACAGAGGCAACCAAGGGAGCCAAGAGGGCCAGGAAGACCCCUGUAGACCACGUCGUGGGGCCCAGUAGGGCCCUUCGAGUCUCGUUUCGCUUUGUCUUUUUGCCCACGCCUUCGUAUUGACCUAAAACCUCCUAUAAAUACAUUGUGCUUCGUGUUCCCGAAGCACGAACAAUGAGAAAACAAAAACAAAAAAAUGCAACAGAUUGAUCUAGGAUUGGAGGUGGGAACUUCGCCAAAGUCGCCGAUGGCCGCCACUCACUCUCCUCCAACAUAUCCUCCAUCAUCACCAUAAUGAUGAGGGAGUAGUACUCUUUGAACUAUGGGUUUGUGGAAAUAGCUUGAUCUCUCUCUCUCUCUCUCUCUCUCUCGUGCUAUCAUGUAAUAGAAACAUAUGAGCUGCUAGACAUGAUUACAAUCAUCGCCGAAUAUUUAUUGGUGGAUCUUUUGUUAUGAGAUUGCAAUGUUCAGAUUACGUUUGAUGUAUUUAUAUAUGCAUAAGUCUACCCGUUCUUGUUUACUUGUACGAAUCAUAUGAGUUUCUUGAACAUCUGUGGAGGAUGUUGACGGAGUAAGCUGGUAGUGGAAUAUGAAUAGUGACAUCAAAUUUGGGAACUACUAGGGUUUUUACCUUUCCGUUGUUUACCUCACUAGCUAGGGACAUAUAAGUGCAUUAUG